rnacentral:rRNA from 1 species
AGACAGAGGGGGCAAGCGUUGCUCGGAAUCACUGGGCGUAAAGGGCGCGUAGGCGGGAUGGCAAGUCGGUCGUGAAAUCCCUCGGCUCAACUGAGGAGAGUCGGCCGAUACUGCUGUUCUUGAGGGAUGCAGAGGAGACUGGAAUUCCCGGUGUAGCGGUGAAAUGUGUAGAGAUCGGGAGGAACACCGGUGGCGAAGGCGGGUCUCUGGGCAUCUCCUGACGCUGAGGCGCGAAAGCGUGGGGAGCAAACG